CGCACAUUGCGCCCUCUGGUAUUCCGGAGGGCAUGCCUGUUCGAGCGUCAUUACACCACUCAAGCUCUGCUUGGUAUUGGGAGCCGUCCCCCGGGACGCACCCGAAAAACAGCGGCGAAGCAACCGAAACCUCUAGCGCAGUGACGAAGUCUAACUCUCGCUACGAGUCGCGUUCGGGGGCUUCCGCCGGAUAACCACCCAUAUUUUUCCAAGGUUGACCUCGGAUCAGGUAGGGAUACCCGCUGAACUUAA
rnacentral:misc_RNA from 1 species